CAAAACAGCUACAACCAAAGCCUAAAGGAAAAAUGUGAAUUGGUCUCACACCCAAGAGAAAUUCCUGGAAGAGGGGCAGGGGUAUGGAGUAGCAUGUGUGUAUGAUGAAGGCCCUCUUGAUGAAAGGGAAGUGGAAGGAAAUAAGCAUUUAUGCAGUAACUUCUACAUUCCAGCCCCAAAAUAGCAGCAACAGGAUCUGGCACUCUUCCAUGAGUUUACCACCUAUGCUAUGAGCUCCCAAGCCUGCGUAACUAUUUGCUGACUAUACUGACAGCUUUUCUUCACUAAGG